GACCGCGUAGCUCAGUUGGCAGAGCAUUGGGCUAGUAUUCCAAAGGUCGUAGGUUCGAUCCCACCGUGGCCG